AAUAGAAAAAAAACAUAAUUCUUAAAAAAAAUUUAAAGUAAAUUUAAGAAAAAAUUGGUUUUGUUCCUUGAGGAUAAAUCGUGUCGACUAGUGUAAUCGGAGUGUCUCUAUUAAUGUAAGGCAAGAGGAACGUGCAGAAGUAAAUUAAUUAUAUGCCCGUUUUGCACAAUAAGCAGAAUCGCUCUGCUUUUGCAAUAGCUUAGUAACCUACCAAGAUCUUAGCUGCUUGUUGAUAUCGUUUCAUUGUCUUUCGUAUGCCAGCAUUGGAAUGCAUUGAAGUUUCAGUCGGAAACCCCCGGCACGUGCUGUGCUGGUGGAAAGAAUGGCUUUAAGCAUUCAGAUUCAAGGACAAAUUCACCAUCGAGCGAUCGCUUUGUUACCACCUCCAAACGAAGAUCAUAAGUUCCUUCAGAUCUAUUUCGUUGAAGAUUAAACAAUAGAACUAGAAAGGCGUUGUGCAAUUUUUACUGCGACUAACCGUGAAAUGAUACACCAAUUGGUCAGAUUGUUCAAAACCGCAUUGCAUACAAUGCAUUCUGACGACCACAAAAUAAUUAUCAGAGCAGACAAAAGACCAGCUGGAGGCCAAGCAAGACAAUUCAAUGCUCCAACUAUCAAUAAAGUUGUAAUUGUUGGAGAAAAUGUAGAAUCACGCGAUAUUGGAACGAGUAUACGAGACUCAUCGAUCAUAUGAUUCACUUCAAUACCCAUUGAUGUUCUGUCGUGGAGAGGAUGACUAUCACUUAAAUAAAAAGUAAUUACUUCUUGUUGUAAACCAGGCCCGAUAUAAAUAAAUACGCAAUUGUGGUUUGGUUAUAUUU